rnacentral:lncRNA from 1 species
UUUUUUUAUUUUUAUUUUUUAACUCCAUGAAUUUUAUUAUUUAUAGUUGUACCACCAUCAUCACAACUUAAUUUUAUAACAUUCCCAUCCCAAACACCCAGCCCAUCCCUCUCCCACAAUCUGCUUCCUUUGGUAACCAUAAGUUUUUCCAAGUCUGUAAGUCAGUUUCUAUUCUGCAAAUAAGUUCAUUCUAUCCUCUUUUUAGAUUCCACAUAUAAGUGAUAGCAUAUGAUGUUUGUGUCUCACUGAGUAACUUCACUUAGCAUGAUUUCUAGGUCCAUCCAUGUUGCUUUGAAUGCCAUUAUUUCAUUCCUUUUUUAUGGCUGAGUAAUAUUCCAUUGUUUGAUGUACCACAUCUUUAUCCACUCUUCUGCUGAUGGACAUUUAGGUUGCUUCUGUGUCUUGGCUAUUGUCUAUAGUGUUGCAACAAACAUUGGGGUAUAUGUAUAUUAUUGAAUCAUAGUUUUCUCUGGAUAGAUGCCCAAGAGUGGGAUUGCUGGAUCAAAUGGUAAUUUUCUUUUCAAUUUUUUGAGGAAUCUCCAUACUGUUUUCCAUAGUGGUUGCACCAAUUUGCAUUCCCACCAACAGUGUAGGAAGGAUCUUUUUUUCCACACCCUCUCCAUCAUUUAUUGUUUGUAGAUAUUGCUGAUGGCCAUUCUGGCUGGUUUUAGGUGGUACUUCAUAGUGGUUUUGAUUUGCAUUUCUCUAAUAAUGAGUGAUGCUGAACAUCUUUUCAUGUUUUUUUUGGCCAUCUGUAUGUCUUCUUUGGAGAAGGGUCUGUUUAGAACUUUUGCCCAUUUUUUGUUGGGGUUGUUUAUUUGGUACUGAGUUUCAGGAGGUGUUCGCUGAUAAAAUUUUAAAAUGUGAUAUUCAGAAACUUCUGUAGUGAAAAAUCCUGAACUAUCUCCUAGAGUCUUGUAUUAAGUCAUAUAUUACUGAGAAGUGGUGAAUAGGCAGUGUGGCAAUGAAACUCCAGUACUUCAUUGAGGAAAGAACAGAUGAUUUUGUCUGGUUCUUCCAGAAACUCUAACUCAUAUGUGCUAUAUUUUGCUAAAAAGUUCAAAUCACCUUCUGUGUUUUAUUGAUUGAUUUAAAUACCAGAUUGUUUAAGGCAGUUAGUUACAAUGUAGGAAAGCCAUCAUUACAUUCAUCAAAACUAGUUCUUAAUUCUUUCAUCAUCUUAUUUUUCAAGUGAUUCCUGUCUCCAAUCUCCUCUUUCCCUAUUUCUGAAUCAUUAUUUACCAUUUCCCCAUUUCUGCCCAUUUACCACAUACAGAGAUAAAGCUCAGUGUCAACUGCAAACAUAAAACCUAAGUGUGGCUCCCCAUCUUCCAAGUUAAUGAUGAAAUGUGAAGCAAUACUAUCCCCUCAGCCCUAAAAUAAAGGCCAUCAUCAAUAGCCACGUGAGCAGCUAGGCCUGCACUAACUGAAAUCUUUCCACAACAUAAACAGUGUUUUCUAAACUUAUUGAUGGGCACUUAGUGAAGGAAAGAAUCAGAGGUGAUGAUAAAGUAUACUUCCCAAAUUUCAAUCGACCAGAACUGUCACCUUCAAAUGAGAGUAUAUUGGUCUGCUGGGUCCCCUAGUUAUUUAGAGUCAUUAGGUCCUAGCCAUUGGUUUCUGCCUCAUAUCCUAUUUAUCACAUUUUAAACUAAUUCUUAUUUAUGUCUCUUAUCAAGUGAGAGUUUAUUUUUCUGCCACAGAAGUAGUGCACUUGAAUAAGUACACAACUGUAUAGUGAAUGCUGUAAAUACUAUCAAAUGUUGUUUUGCCUGUAGUUUAAGAGUAUUCUUACUGGCAAAAUAUUACAAAGCAAAUGUUGAAGGUUUGCAUAUUUUCUUUUUUGGCCUUUUUUGUCUUUUUAGGGCUGUACCUCUGGCAAAUGGAGGUUCCCUGGCUAGGGGGAUUGAAUCUACAUCUUCAUGGAUACUAGUCAGGUUCCUUAACCACUGAACCACGAUGGAGAACUCUGCAUAUUUCCAUUACUUACUGUGCUAUCCAUAAUUUAAAUUAUUGUCAUUUUUCAGAUAAGCAGAUUAACAGAGAAUGAUAUUAAAAAAAGAACUACUGUUUGUGCAUCAUGGCAAAUCAUACUCAUUUGGUACAAGAAACAUUAAAUUUGCAUUUCACUCCAGUCAUAGAUAUUAAAGAUUUCCAUAUUUUUUUAACACAAAACAAGAAAGUAACAGAAACUCAAUGUGUUAAGUGAAUUAUUUAAAAGCUAGAAUUUUUAAGGAGAUUGUUAGAGAAUAUAUUGAAAUCUAUCAUCUAAUAUCACCUGUGAAAUCUGCCAUCAUUCAGUGGUUACUUUAAUUCAUUUUAUUGUCAUUAUUUAUCCUAUUUACUUUUCAAAUAACAGUUUUGUUUUCUUUGUAGUUAUCUGCACAUGGGAUCUGCUACCUUCAUCAUUCAAUCAUCAUGGCACUUCUAUUUUUGAAACACAUAUAAGUAUAUCCCCUGUUUUUUCCCAUGUAAAAUGUCAGUUCUGGACAUUAGCUUUUGCUUAUGCAGGUAGAGCACUUAUGACAUUUGUCAUAGUAAAUACAUUUAUACCAGUAAGCUUCAAAUAUUCCUAAUUCACUAGUGCACAGGAAAUUUAGACUUUAGUGCAAAACAGAAAAAAAAAAAAGAAAGGCACCUUCAGCACAUAUUGCCAUAAAUUUGUUCAGGUGGAACAGGAGAUUGGGUGACAUAACAGUCAAGCAGCAGGCAUGGAGUGACAGUUUAUAGACAGACAAUGAAAUAGAACUUUGAAGAAAGGAAUAGAUGUAUUAUACUGUAUCCUGCAAUUAUACCUAUUAAGGCAGAAGAAAAUCAUCUUCACUUCCACUUUUCAUGAUUCUGGGCUGUCUCUCGGCAUUGUCCUCAUAAAACCUUAUGCAUUAUAUAUUUCAUCAUGACAAAACAUAAUUGAUGCCAAGUACAUUUUAAAAUUAUCGCUGUGUAAUACACACUUUUGAGAAACACUAUUUAUUAUUAUAAACGUUCAAAUACUUAUUUUGAAUUAUAUUGAAGAUCAUGACAGAACAUUUUAAACGUGUUCUCAGUGGCAAGUGAGUCAUUUUGAAGACUACUUUUCUAAUUUAUUCUACAACAGUUGAAGUUUUUUUAAAAAAAAUCUCUUCCAGAAAUUAUAAAAAAUAACAGCUUCUCCUUUGGAGUGUUGAAAGGUAAAAGCCACAGUAAGUCAAACAAGUGUAUACAGUUCAAAAGCAAUUUCUACCUUUAUAAAAAUUAUAGUGUAAAAAAGCUGGAGAUAAAUGCUUAGAUAUAAGCCACAUUCAGCCUCCCGAGCAUCCACGUCUCUAUAGUUCUCUUUUGUGCCCUGUUUAGAAAAAUUAUAGCCCUAUCUUUAAUUCAGAGAUUUGAUACUUUAUAAUUAAAUAUUGCCCAUUCAUUAAGAGGAAUACUGUUUGGGAUAAAGAAGAAAAUGUGUAUGUAUGUGUAUAUACAGGCCCUGUAAUCUGGGUUCGAAUUCUGUCUGCCACUUAUCAGCUGAGUGACUUGAAUUAAAAAAAAAAAAAAAAAAAAAAAAAAAAGAAAGAAAAGAUUGUCAGUGUUGGCUUUUGGGCUAUUUUUUCAUUACUGGCCCAUGUGACAUGGACAGUGCCUGGCACACGGUGGACAAAAUACUACCUGUUGAAGAGAAGAAUGAAUGAAUGAAAGCUCUUAGAAGAAAUUUAGCACAGUGUUUGAAAACUCCCUGGUAUUAUCCUCUCUGACUCUUCACAUCUCCUUCACUUUCCACUAUAGCAGACUGGGGUAAUAAAGCCAUUGAAAUUGAUCAGUAUUGGGAUACUUGCGUUUAAUUAUUACAUGUAGCAGAGUCCUUCUUCCCUUUUUAAAAGACUAACAGUAACCAUAGUUCUCUAAGACAUAGUGCAAAAUAAAAAUCACCCACGUAUUUUUAAAGGACUUUAAGGAAAUAAUUCACACGUAUCUUUCCAAAAUUAACAUACCUUCCAAAUUGAUAAGAUCUAGAGUCAAAUAAAAAACUAAAUAAUUCCGACACACAGAAGUAGAGUGAUCAAUUUACAAAUAGGUGCAAUAAUAGCUUUUAUUUUUAUACUCAUUUCCAGCCUUUCUUAUAUUUUACAGGAUAAGUUAUGAGCCUCAUGACAAAUACGCUUCCCAACCCUCCCUACGGUGUCCAGCCAAGCCUGCUAGAGUUAUGACACAGACUGGUGUUUAUAGGACAAGUCAGAGGAUGAUUCAUAGCCCCUAAAAAACAGUAUUUUUCUUUUUUUAAAAGGAAAGCUAUCCCAGACAGCUACCAUUUUAUUAAAAAUAUCAUCAUAUUUUUAUUCUCUCCUUGUUCAAAAUUAAGGAAAAAGAUAUCAGAAAAUUUUGAACCAUGCAAUCACCAUAUGAAGAUGUCCAACUCCCAAUUUUAUCUUCCAGAACUGACUUUAAUAAAAUAAAAAUUACCUCUUUAUCUCAUAGAUUUUUGAAUCACGCACAGAGCUCCACAGUGCUGUCACUCUCUCACACAAAACUAAUGAGACUGUCUUUGUGAAGAACUUAACUAACAUGGUCCCGCCAUUUCUCUCUGCUGCCCAGGAAUUUAUACUUUAUAAGAAAGCAGGGACCUCAGUGCUGACUUUGUUUUAGAGGGUCCCUCCCCAUUGGCUCCAGGGUGGUUAGACCCUUCCAGAAUUACCCCACAGCUCUGAGAUAGCCAUUUAAUGCCUUCCAUAUUUACCAGAAAAAUUAAAUAUUUUUAUUGUUUGCUCACCUUCUGGUUUAAAAAUAUCCCCCCCCCAUCACUGCCCCAGUGUAUGAGUAUUUGGCUCUCUUUUCUGGAUUAUAGAAAAACAAAACAAAACAUAACCCUGAGUUGGCAAACCUUUAGCCAGGUCUUUGAGUAGAUAAGUUUUAUCUCUAUUUUUUCAUGAGAACAUUGUGUUUCUCAUUUUUAUGAAGUCAGUAAUAGGUCUUACUGAUUAAGGACUAAACCAGAAGCCAGCUUUAGUAAACAAAAAAGGAAUUUACAUUUUGCAAAACAAUGUGAAAAUUUUUGUGUGUCUUAACUGUGGAUUUGAGGGGGAUGUUUUUGGAGAUGAUGUUGAUUUUGGGAAAUUGUGAUUCUUCAUCAAUAUAGUAUGAAAUAAACUCUUUGAAAUGGUGGUGAAUUGCAUGUGUAUGUGUGCACACAGAUAUAUUUACUAACUCUAGCCCUCUUCAUUCAGUGUUUGGUCUAAUAAUAAUUCAUAAGAAGACAGCUGCAGUUAAACAAGGUCUGUAUUUAUUUAAAACUGGUGGAAAGGUUUCAAAGACUGAUUGGGAUGGUCAAAGCAUGCAGCUGCUGGCUUCUCCAUAGUGAUUGUCUAGGAUAAAUAACUUAGGUAUUGAAAAUGGACUGCUGAGAGUCAAGGGGAAAACCCUUGGAAGUAAGACGUGGAGUGUAUUCUCCAGAUGAAGGGGUAGAAAGUUGGACACUGGGAUAGAGAAUAGAUAAGCGUAGGACUGAGGGUGUCAAUAAUAACAUUUCUGUGAAGGGCAGCUUUUAUUUUUUCCCCUCCCAUUUUCUUUGGACUCUAGGAACAAUCAUUUUUAGCAGGUUUAAGUUUUUUUCUUCCUAUACCAAUUUUCUCCUACUUUUAGUAAAGAGCAUUACCCACACAAAGUCUUAUGCUGGAGAGAAAUUGAGGGAAGGAUCAGUAAGAACUUGGGUAACCUUCUAAAUAUCCAUGUUCCAAUAAGGUCGAGGAGGUGAUUAAUUUUGGAGUUCUAGGUUAUGGGGAGAAGUAAAGCAGUCCUGUGGGUGGCAGGAAGGAGAACUGGAUAAGCAGAAAUCAAUGGGGUUUAUACAGACCCAUUCACAGAAAUGAAACAGACUCCCUUUAUUUCCUAAAUGUACUAGCACAUGGAAGAGAGAGCAGAUGUAUCCUUGGUUAUAAGUACAUUUUAUUACUACUAAAAAUAAUUUUAUUAUUUAGUUAUUUUUUCAAGCUUUCUGGAGGUGUAAUUGACAAAGUUUUAUAUGAAGGGUACAAUGUAAUUUGACACAUGUAUACAUUAGGAAAUGAUUACAACAAUCAGGUUA